GGGUUGUGAGGUUAAGCGACUAAGCGUACACGGUGGAUGCCCUGGCAGUCAGAGGCGAUGAAGGACGUGCUAAUCUGCGAUAAGCGUCGGUAAGGUGAUAUGAACCGUUAUAACCGGCGAUUUCCGAAUGGGGAAACCCAGUGUGUUUCGACACACUAUCAUUAACUGAAUCCAUAGGUUAAUGAGGCGAACCGGGGGAACUGAAACAUCUAAGUACCCCGAGGAAAAGAAAUCAACCGAGAUUCCCCCAGUAGCGGCGAGCGAACGGGGAGCAGCCCAGAGCCUGAAUCAGUGUGUGUGUUAGUGGAAGCGUCUGGAAAGGCGCGCGAUACAGGGUGACAGCCCCGUACACAAAAAUGCACAUGCUGUGAGCUCGAUGAGUAGGGCGGGACACGUGGUAUCCUGUCUGAAUAUGGGGGGACCAUCCUCCAAGGCUAAAUACUCCUGACUGACCGAUAGUGAACCAGUACCGUGAGGGAAAGGCGAAAAGAACCCCGGCGAGGGGAGUGAAAAAGAACCUGAAACCGUGUACGUACAAGCAGUGGGAGCACGCUUAGGCGUGUGACUGCGUACCUUUUGUAUAAUGGGUCAGCGACUUAUAUUCUGUAGCAAGGUUAACCGAAUAGGGGAGCCGAAGGGAAACCGAGUCUUAACUGGGCGUUAAGUUGCAGGGUAUAGACCCGAAACCCGGUGAUCUAGCCAUGGGCAGGUUGAAGGUUGGGUAACACUAACUGGAGGACCGAACCGACUAAUGUUGAAAAAUUAGCGGAUGACUUGUGGCUGGGGGUGAAAGGCCAAUCAAACCGGGAGAUAGCUGGUUCUCCCCGAAAGCUAUUUAGGUAGCGCCUCGUGAAUUCAUCUCCGGGGGUAGAGCACUGUUUCGGCAAGGGGGUCAUCCCGACUUACCAACCCGAUGCAAACUGCGAAUACCGGAGAAUGUUAUCACGGGAGACACACGGCGGGUGCUAACGUCCGUCGUGAAGAGGGAAACAACCCAGACCGCCAGCUAAGGUCCCAAAGUCAUGGUUAAGUGGGAAACGAUGUGGGAAGGCCCAGACAGCCAGGAUGUUGGCUUAGAAGCAGCCAUCAUUUAAAGAAAGCGUAAUAGCUCACUGGUCGAGUCGGCCUGCGCGGAAGAUGUAACGGGGCUAAACCAUGCACCGAAGCUGCGGCAGCGACGCUUAUGCGUUGUUGGGUAGGGGAGCGUUCUGUAAGCCUGUGAAGGUGUACUGUGAGGUAUGCUGGAGGUAUCAGAAGUGCGAAUGCUGACAUAAGUAACGAUAAAGCGGGUGAAAAGCCCGCUCGCCGGAAGACCAAGGGUUCCUGUCCAACGUUAAUCGGGGCAGGGUGAGUCGACCCCUAAGGCGAGGCCGAAAGGCGUAGUCGAUGGGAAACAGGUUAAUAUUCCUGUACUUGGUGUUACUGCGAAGGGGGGACGGAGAAGGCUAUGUUGGCCGGGCGACGGUUGUCCCGGUUUAAGCGUGUAGGCUGGUUUUCCAGGCAAAUCCGGAAAAUCAAGGCUGAGGCGUGAUGACGAGGCACUACGGUGCUGAAGCAACAAAUGCCCUGCUUCCAGGAAAAGCCUCUAAGCAUCAGGUAACAUCAAAUCGUACCCCAAACCGACACAGGUGGUCAGGUAGAGAAUACCAAGGCGCUUGAGAGAACUCGGGUGAAGGAACUAGGCAAAAUGGUGCCGUAACUUCGGGAGAAGGCACGCUGAUAUGUAGGUGAAGUCCCUCGCGGAUGGAGCUGAAAUCAGUCGAAGAUACCAGCUGGCUGCAACUGUUUAUUAAAAACACAGCACUGUGCAAACACGAAAGUGGACGUAUACGGUGUGACGCCUGCCCGGUGCCGGAAGGUUAAUUGAUGGGGUUAGCGCAAGCGAAGCUCUUGAUCGAAGCCCCGGUAAACGGCGGCCGUAACUAUAACGGUCCUAAGGUAGCGAAAUUCCUUGUCGGGUAAGUUCCGACCUGCACGAAUGGCGUAAUGAUGGCCAGGCUGUCUCCACCCGAGACUCAGUGAAAUUGAACUCGCUGUGAAGAUGCAGUGUACCCGCGGCAAGACGGAAAGACCCCGUGAACCUUUACUAUAGCUUGACACUGAACAUUGAGCCUUGAUGUGUAGGAUAGGUGGGAGGCUUUGAAGUGUGGACGCCAGUCUGCAUGGAGCCGACCUUGAAAUACCACCCUUUAAUGUUUGAUGUUCUAACGU
rnacentral:rRNA from 1 species